UACGUAGGGGGCUAGCGUUGUCCGGAUUUAUUGGGCGUAAAGAGCGUGUAGGCGGCUUUGCAAGUCCGUUGUGAAAACUCGAGGCUCAACCUCGAGACGCCGGUGGAAACUGCAAAGCUAGAGUCCGGAAGAGGAGAGUGGAAUUCCUGGUGUAGCGGUGAAAUGCGCAGAUAUCGAGAGGAACACCUGCGGCGAAGGCGGGUUGCUGGGCUGACACUGACGCUGAUGCGCGAAAGCCAGGGGAGCGAACGGG
rnacentral:rRNA from 1 species